ensembl:miRNA
CCUUCUCGCAGAGGCUCUUGACCUGGGACUUGGACAGCUGCUUGCACUCAUUCAGCUGCUGGACCCACUGGUCCAGCUCUUUGGUGAACACCUU